rnacentral:tRNA from 1 species
GGAAAUGUGCCCGAAAAGGGGAUUACUUUGAUAGAGUAACACACAGGGGUUAAAAUCCCCUCAUCUCCU